rnacentral:rRNA from 1 species
GACGAACGCUGGCGGCGUGCUUAACACAUGCAAGUCGAACGGAGAGGCCCUGCUUUUGUGGGGUGCUCGAGUGGCGAACGGGUGAGUAACACGUGAGUAACCUGCCCUCGACUUUGGGAUAACUUCAGGAAACUGGGGCUAAUACCGGAUAGGAGCUCCUGCUGCAUGGUGGGGGUUGGAAAGUUUCGGCGGUUGGGGAUGGACUCGCGGCUUAUCAGCUUGUUGGUGGGGUAGUGGCUUACCAAGGCUUUGACGGGUAGCCGGCCUGAGAGGGUGACCGGCCACAUUGGGACUGAGAUACGGCCCAGACUCCUACGGGAGGCAGCAGUGGGGAAUAUUGCACAAUGGGCGGAAGCCUGAUGCAGCAACGCCGCGUGCGGGAUGACGGCCUUCGGGUUGUAAACCGCUUUCGCCUGUGACGAAGCGUGAGUGACGGUAAUGGGUAAAGAAGCACCGGCUAACUACGUG